rnacentral:rRNA from 1 species
UACGGAGGGUGCAAGCGUUGUCCGGAAUCACUGGGCGUAAAGGGCGCGUAGGCGGCUCAUGAAGGCUGUGGUGAAAGUCCGGGGCUCAACCUCGGAUCGGCCGUGGCGACUCGUGGGCUGGAGCACUGUAGAGGCGGGUGGAAUUCCGGGUGUAGCGGUGGAAUGCGUAGAGAUCCGGAAGAACACCAGUGGCGAAGGCGGCCCGCUGGGCCGAUACUGACGCUGAGGAGCGAAAGCGUGGGGAGCGAACAGG